UACGGGGGGAGCAAGCGUUGUUCGGAUUUACUGGGCGUAAAGGGCGCGUAGGCGGCCACCGCAAGUCGACUGUGAAAUCUCUGGGCUUAACCCAGAAAGGUCAGCCGAUACUGCGGGGCUAGAGUGCAGAAGGGGCAACGGAAUUCUCGGUGUAGCGGGUGAAAUGCGUAGAUAUCGAGAGGAACACCUGCGGCGAAGGCGGGUUGGCUGGGCUGACACGUGACGCUGAAGCGCGAAAGCGUGGGGAGCGAACAGG
rnacentral:rRNA from 1 species